rnacentral:rRNA from 1 species
AAUUGAUUGAUGGUGCUUGCACCUGAUUGAUUUUGGUCGCCAACGAGUGGCGGACGGGUGAGUAACACGUAGGUAACCUGCCCAGAAGCGGGGGACAACAUUUGGAAACAGAUGCUAAUACCGCAUAACAGCGUUGUUCGCAUGAACAACGCUUAAAAGAUGGCUUCUCGCUAUCACUUCUGGAUGGACCUGCGGUGCAUUAGCUUGUUGGUGGGGUAACGGCCUACCAAGGCGAUGAUGCAUAGCCGAGUUGAGAGACUGAUCGGCCACAAUGGGACUGAGACACGGCCCAUACUCCUACGGGAGGCAGCAGUAGGGAAUCUUCCACAAUGGGCGCAAGCCUGAUGGAGCAACACCGCGUGAGUGAAGAAGGGUUUCGGCUCGUAAAGCUCUGUUGUUAAAGAAGAACACGUAUGAGAGUAACUGUUCAUACGUUGACGGUAUUUAACCAGAAAGUCACGGCUAACUACGUGCCAGCAGCCGCGGUAAUACGUAGGUGGCAAGCGUUAUCCGGAUUUAUUGGGCGUAAAGAGAGUGCAGGCGGUUUUCUAAGUCUGAUGUGAAAGCCUUCGGCUUAACCGGAGAAGUGCAUCGGAAACUGGAUAACUUGAGUGCAGAAGAGGGUAGUGGAACUCCAUGUGUAGCGGUGGAAUGCGUAGAUAUAUGGAAGAACACCAGUGGCGAAGGCGGCUACCUGGUCUGCAACUGACGCUGAGACUCGAAAGCAUGGGUAGCGAACAGGAUUAGAUACCCUGGUAGUCCAUGCCGUAAACGAUGAGUGCUAGGUGUUGGAGGGUUUCCGCCCUUCAGUGCCGGAGCUAACGCAUUAAGCACUCCGCCUGGGGAGUACGACCGCAAGGUUGAAACUCAAAGGAAUUGACGGGGGCCCGCACAAGCGGUGGAGCAUGUGGUUUAAUUCGAAGCUACGCGAAGAACCUUACCAGGUCUUGACAUCUUGCGCCAACCCUAGAGAUAGGGCGUUUCCUUCGGGAACGCAAUGACAGGUGGUGCAUGGUCGUCGUCAGCUCGUGUCGUGAGAUGUUGGGUUAAGUCCCGCAACGAGCGCAACCCUUGUUACUAGUUGCCAGCAUUAAGUUGGGCACUCUAGUGAGACUGCCGGUGACAAACCGGAGGAAGGUGGGGACGACGUCAGAUCAUCAUGCCCCUUAUGACCUGGGCUACACACGUGCUACAAUGGACGGUACAACGAGUCGCGAACUCGCGAGGGCAAGCAAAUCUCUUAAAACCGUUCUCAGUUCGGACUGCAGGCUGCAACUCGCCUGCACGAAGUCGGAAUCGCUAGUAAUCGCGGAUCAGCAUGCCGCGGUGAAUACGUUCCCGGGCCUUGUACACACCGCCCGUCACACCAUGAGAGUUUGUAACACCCAAAGUCGGUGGGGUAACCUUUUAGGAGCCA